CAAUAGCGUAUACUAACGUUGUUGCAGUUAAAAGCUCGUAGUUGGAUUUCUGACGAUCUUGGUUCAUCCCGGCUCACUGAGACGUGUGGUGUCCAAGGCAGUCAACAUUUGGCGUGGUCUCGUACCGGCCCUUUACUGGGACGUGCGGGCGAUCGUCUCGUUUACUUUGAGAAAAUUAGAGUGUUCAAAGCAGGCUCUUGCCUUGAAUAUGUUAGCAUGGAAUAAUGACAUAGGACUUUGGUUCUAUUUGUUGGUUGUUCGAGAACUAGAGUAAUGAUUGAUAGGGACGGUUGGGGGCAUACGUAUUCCGGGGCGAGAGGUGAAAUUCUUGGACCCCCGGAAGACGAACCGCUGCGAAAGCGUUUGCCUAGGACGUUCUCUUUAAUCAAGAACGAAAGUUAGGGGAUCGAAGAUGAUUAGAU
rnacentral:rRNA from 1 species